GUGUUCGAUUAAGCCAUGCGAGUUAAAUGUUCUUCGUGAACAUAGCAGACUGCUCAGUAACACGUGGAUAACCUGCCCUUAGGACUGGCAUAACCCCGGGAAACUGGGGAUAAUUCCGGAUAGAUCAUAAAUGCUGGAAUGCUUUAUGAUUGAAAGGUUUCGACCGCCUUAGGAUGGAUCUGCGGCCUAUCAGGUUGUAGUGGGUGUAAUGUACCUACUAGCCUACGACGGGUACGGGUUGUGGAAGCAAGAGCCCGGAGAUGGAUUCUGAGACAUGAAUCCAGGCCCUACGGGGCGCAGCAGGCGCGAAAACUUUACAAUGCGGGAAACCGUGAUAAGGGAACACUGAGUGCUAGCAUUUAUGUUAGCUGUCCACAUGUGUAAAUAGCAUGUGAUAGCAAGGGCUGGGCAAGACCGGUGCCAGCCGCCGCGGUAACACCGGCAGCCCGAGUGGUGAUCACUAUUAUUGGGUCUAAAGGGUCCGUAGCCGGUUUAAUCAGUCUUCUGGGAAAUCUAAUCGCUUAACUAUUAGGCUUCCAGGGGAUACUGUUAGACUUGGGACCGGGAGAGGUAAGAGGUACUGCAGGGGUAGGAGUGAAAUCUUGUAAUCCCUGUGAGACCACCAGUGGCGAAGGCGUCUUACCAGAACGGGUCCGACGGUGAGGGACGAAAGCUGGGGGCACGAACCGGAUUAGAUACCCGGGUAGUCCCAGCUGUAAACGAUGCUCGUUAGGUGUCAGGAACGGUGCGACUGUUUCUGGUGCCGAAGGGAAGCCG
rnacentral:rRNA from 1 species